AAGUCGUAACAAGGUCUCCGUUGGUGAACCAGCGGAGGGAUCAUUACUGAGUUAUCAAAAACUCCAAAACCCUUUGUGAACUUACCGUCGUUGCCUCGGCGUGAGCUGCGGCUACCUACCCUGGAGAGGGGGCGACUACCCUGCAGGAAAACCCCUCACUUCCCUACCCGGGAAGAUGAGGCGCUGCCUUUGCAGGGCUGACGCCCCCCCGCCCGGGGGAGCUAGCCGGCUUACCAGCCCGCCGGCCGGCCACUACUUAAACUCUUCGUUUCCAUGUAUCUCUGAAUCUUCAACUUAAAAUAAGUUAAAACUUUCAACAACGGAUCUCUUGGUUCUG
rnacentral:misc_RNA from 1 species